rnacentral:rRNA from 1 species
UACGAAGGGGGCUAGAGUUGUUCGGAAUUACUGGGCGUAAAGGGCGCGUAGGCGGCGCGUUAAGUCAGGUGUGAAAGCCCUGGGCUCAACCCAGGAAUUGCACUUGAUACUGACGUGCUUGAAUCCGGAAGAGGAUGACGGAAUUCCCAGUGUAGAGGUGAAAUUCAUUGAGAUUGGGAAGAACACCAGUGGCGAAGGCGGUCAUCUGGUACGGUAUUGACGAUGAGGCGCGAAAGAGUGGGGAGCAAACAGG